rnacentral:lncRNA from 1 species
GGGUACUAGCUUCUUUGUAGAGAUCGUAUUUUGAUGAUUAAAAACUCUUCAUUUCUCUCAAGAUCUUUUUAAAGAAGAAAAAAAAAAGGAGGAUGAAGAUCUCUGUGCUAGAGAUUAUGAGAAGAACACUUUCUUUUCUUUCUUUCUAAAAUCUAUGUACAAAAUCUCUACGCUAGAAAUCUAAAAAAAUAUGUCCAACUCUUUGACAAAGGGGAGAGAAAAAUCUAUGUCCAAAACUUGGACAAAAGAGGGAG